GUGAGGAAUAUUGGACAAUGGGCGCAAGCCUGAUCCAGCCAUGCCGCGUGCAGGAAGACGCAUCUAUGGUGUGUAAACUGCUUUUGUACGGGAAGAAACACUCCCUCGUGAGGGAGCUUGACGGUACCGUAAGAAUAAGGAUCGGCUAACUCCGUGCCAGCAGCCGCGGUAAUACGGAGGAUCCAAGCGUUAUCCGGAAUCAUUGGGUUUAAAGGGUCCGUAGGCGGUUUAAUUAGUCAGUGGUGAAAGCCCAUCGCUCAACGAUGGAACGGCCAUUGAUACUGUUAGACUUGAAUUACAAGGAAGUAACUAGAAUAUGUAGUGUAGCGGUGAAAUGCUUAGAUAUUACAUGGAAUACCAAUUGCGAAGGCAGGUUACUACUUGUGGAUUGACGCUGAUGGACGAAAGCGUGGGGAGCGAACAGGAUUAGAUACCCGUGUAGUCC
rnacentral:rRNA from 1 species